AGCGAACGCUGGCGGCAGGCCUAACACAUGCAAGUCGAACGGACCCCUCGGGGUUAGAGGCGGACGGGUGAGUAACACGUGGGAACGUGCCUUUAGGUUCGGAAUAGCCCCUGGAAACGGGUGGUAAUGCCCAAUGUGCCCUUCUGGGGAAAGAUUUAUCGCCAUUAGAGCGGCCCGAGUCUGAUUAGCUAGUUGGUGAGGUAAUGGCUCACCAAGGCGACGAUCAGUAGCUGGUCUGAGAGGAUGACCGGCCGCCUUGGGACUGAGACACGGCCCAAACUCCUACGGGAGGCAGCAGUGGGGAAUCUUGCGCAAUGGGCGAAAGCCUGACGCAGCCAUGCCGCGUGAAUGAUGAAGGUCUUAGGAUUGUAAAAUUCUUUCACCGGGGACGAUAAUGACGGUGCCCGGAGAAGAAGCCCCGGCUAACUUCGUGCCAGCAGCCGCCGUAAAAC
rnacentral:rRNA from 1 species